rnacentral:rRNA from 1 species
GACGAACGCUGGCGGCGUGCUUAACACAUGCAAGUCGAACGGUGACCCUCGGAGCUUGCUUCGGGGUGAACAGUGGCGAACGGGUGAGUAACACGUGAGUAACCUGCCCCUGACUCUGGAAUAAGCGCUGGAAACGGCGUCUAAUACCGGAUACGACACGCCUCCGCAUGGGGAGCGUGUGGAAAGUUUUUCGGUCUGGGAUGGACUCGCGGCCUAUCAGCUUGUUGGUGAGGUAAUGGCUCACCAAGGCGAUGACGGGUAGCCGGCCUGAGAGGGCGACCGGCCACACUGGGACUGAGACACGGCCCAGACUCCUACGGGAGGCAGCAGUGGGGAAUAUUGCACAAUGGGCGAAAGCCUGAUGCAGCGACGCCGCGUGAGGGAUGACGGCCUUCGGGUUGUAAACCUCUUUCAGCAGGGAAGAAGCGAGAGUGACGGUACCUGCAGAAGAAGCACCGGCUAACUACGUGCCAGCAGCCGCCGUAA